UGCCAGCAGCCGCGGUAAUACGGAGGGGGUUAGCGUUGUUCGGAAUUACUGGGCGUAAAGCGUACGUAGGCGGACUGAUCAGUCAGGGGUGAAAUCCCGGGGCUCAACCCCGGAACUGCCUUUGAUACUGUCAGUCUUGAAUUCGAGAGAGGUGAGUGGAAUUCCGAGUGUAGAGGUGAAAUUCGUAGAUAUUCGGAGGAACACCAGUGGCGAAGGUGGCUCACUGGCUCGAUAUUGACGCUGAGGUACGAAAGUGUGGGGACCAAACAGGAUUAGAUA
rnacentral:rRNA from 1 species